GCUGGACAAGAACCCGUAAACCGGUCCAAACCGCAAAAACCGCAAAAAAAUAACCGCACUGAAUGGUUUCAAACGGGUCACCGGAUGAACGGGCCCAACAGUGUGGCCCCAGGCGGAUUGUAACAGGCGGGUUCGGUUUAUGGAAAACCACCGUCGGUGUCCGCAUCCGCCCGCACCAAAACUAAAAUUAUACUAUUAUUCAUAAUACACGGUCAUUUUAGCAGCACUACUAGGGUAUUCAGGGUAUUUAUUCUUUAUUCUCUCAAAUAAAGUUCCUUAGCCAAAAAACCCUAGAACACUUCGUUAACGCCGCCGGUGAAGGAAACUAUGUGUCUGUGUUCAUCUUCUUGAUUCUUGGUCGUCCCUUCUUCUUCUUCUUCUACUUGCUUGGAAGGACCUUCUUCUUGUUUGCAAAGACAGAGCAAAGGUUAGAUUUCUUGUUCAUGUUCUUUGGUUUAUCUUUGUAUGCUCCCCACCUUUUGAUUUAUCUCUGUAUGUUCUUAUUUUUCACCUUUUGCUCUUUGGGUAUACUUUUUAUUUAGUAAAUUAGAUUCUUUUGUGAUAAAUAAAUACCAUGGAUGUAUAGCUUAAAGACAUGUGAAUGAAAACCAUAAGGUUGUAGCUUGACCUGCUAUUAUUAUAGCAAUUGAAUUUGUGUUGUAUUAUGCUCACAAUACUUAUAAUCAAUUAUUAUUUGAAAUGCUUGCAAAUAAAGAAAUGUAAGAAAGAGUGAGGACAACAACUGGAUCAUUAUCUGAUCUAUUUUUAUCAGCAGUAGUUACUAACUUGUAUAGAUCUGGAACUUCUCUUUCCAGGAAAAAAUCAAUGCUGAGAUUUCUCCUAGAGGAAGAAUUGGAUCUAAGAAGCAUCCCUUACCAUUUUAAUGAGCAGAAUUAAUUAUUUGAGAUCAACUAUAAAUGAAAAUUUUUGGUUUAAUUUGGUGUUAGGAUACUAUAUGCAUGUCUUUCUACAGAUCGAGGGUACCCCAUGUCAAAACUGCUUGAAAAUUAUGUUGGAUUAAAUAUAGUACAUAUUGAAAAUAAUUAUGAACCUAUGGAGUAUCAAAUUGGUGCUCCUGGUAAAUCCUACACAAAAUGAGCAGCAUAUAUGGCUAUAGAAAUCAGUACCGGUUACCAUGGAUAAUUUUAGUAGUCCUUUCAUUUCUACAAUCUAUGGCCUGAUGAAUAUGGUAAACAAAUGUUUCAAAUACUUAACCUCUCCGAUAAGAACUUCACAUGUUUUAUAUACAUUUAUACAAUUAAGUCUGGCUCUGAAUUUUGUUUCUCUCUAUGUACAAUUAAGUCUUUAUAAUGUUAAAUUUAUAAGAUUAUCAUUAUUCUAUUACAGAUUUUGUAUUCUUUUAUACUUUGAUUUGUAUAUUGGUUCUUUUCAUCUCAGUUAUUUUAAUUUUUUAAAAAAUGCUCAAAAUAUGUUAUUGUGCUCAAAAAUAAAAUCAGCAUAAUAACCCGACUGAACCGUUUAAAUUAACCCGUGAUCCGCUCUAACCCAACCCGUCUAAACCGUUCAAAAUAAUGGGCGGAAAUGGGUCUAUAUAUCUCAACCGCGGUUUGAAUUGGGUGAGGGUUUUGGGCCCGAAACCGCCCAACCCGGCCCGUUGUCCAGCCCUAAUUAGAAUACAGAGCCGCAUAAACACUCAACCAAAACCCAAAAAAAAAUCAUCGUCAUCUUCCUAGUUUACAAACCCUUUAGAAAUUAUCAAAAUAACAUUGUUCAUAUUCAUCAAGCAUCAAACACAGACAACACAAAUUCAAACAAAAACCCAAACAUUUUCAUCAUCAUUUUCCAUAUACAAAAAACCCUUCAGAAUCGUGAGAGGAAAAGAGAUUAAGAGGGUACAUAAAUAAAAAUCGGAAAAGAUCUCACCUGGUUUCGAAGAUUCAGAAUGCAACAUCAUCAUCUUCAUUCACAACGAACUCAACAUUCAUCAAACGUUCAACAACAACGUCUGAACCCAACAACAUCAACAUACUCAGCAUUCAAAGAAGUAAGAAAUCGAGAAAGAGAGAGAUCAGAAUUGAAGACGGAGGAAGCGGCCGGAAGUUUUGAUCAUAGAAGAAGUUGCACCGCUGCACGUUGAUGAGAAGGAAGAGUCUGAACUCUCAAGGGUUUUUAACUUGGAUGUCUUAUCGCUUGUGUGCAUUGAAGAGUCUUUAUCAUUAUUGGAGCAUAGGAAACAAGUACUUUAGGUUUCUCUCAACUAUUUUCAGAGGCAUAGUGGAUUUAUUUUCCACUUUAAAGGUAAGCUUUCUUGAGCUUUAAUUUGCAUCAUGUUAGAGUUGCAAUGUUUAGAAGCAUAUAGUUGGCCAAACAAUAUGUUUGAUGUAUAUGGGUUGUUAUUUAUUUGAAUUUUAUUUUAAGCCCUAUUGUUAUAGGAGAUGUUUUUUUUAAGCCCUAUUGUUAUAGGCAAUGUUUGUUUUAAGCCCUAUUGUUAUAGGCGAUGCUUGAUUUUAAGUCCUAUUGUUAUAGGCAAUGUUUGAUCUGGAAGUCCUAGCGUUGUAGGCAUUAUUUUGUGAUGUUCGAUUGUUUAAUCUUCAUCUCUUCUCUUAUUCUUGAUUGCUCAAAUAUGUGGUACCUAAUUGCAUGUUCUUCUUUGAUACUUACUUGGUUAAGUAAGUCUUCUUUAGGUAUUUUGGUUAAGUGCCUUAUAAGAUAUGUGGAUGGUAAAUGAAGAAUGAUAUGUUCAAGGAUAGUCCUUCGAGGACUUGAGAAUCGCUUGACUUCAUAUAUUUCUUUUGAGCUUGUUUAUGAUUGUUAUGUGGUGAAAAUCUUAGGGGUUUGUGAUCCAAUCUCUUAUGUUUAAAUCUUAAUCUCACCUCCUCUUCUCAUCUCACUUUCUUAUUUCACCUUGAGUACAUGAUCCCAUUUGAUUGGAUGAUACUAUGAUUGGUGUUUCGCCUUUCGUGUAUGCUUUGGUUUUGUUGUGUGGUAACCACCUUUCCUUAUACUUUGUGCUUUCUUAGGUGGUCUCCUAAUUGCACAUGUUUGUGUUGCUUGCUUGGUUAAGUAGGAUUUAUUUUAAGCUUUUGUUUGAAGUGUUUACUUCUCUUGGAGCUUGUUUGGAUAUUUUGACUAGCUAGUCUUGUGUCAUGAGGACUAAUUCCUCUCUUUAGAGGUGUCCCAUGAUCGAUACAUACUGGAUGAAUUUUCUACUGCCCCGUUUGUUUUAUUUUGAUCCUUAGAGGUCAUACUUUGCUUUGCUAAGCUCUUGGUACAUGAUUCCUUAAUGGUAUGAUAUCACAACUUGUGUUUUAUGCUUUUAUGCUUUCUUUUGCCUCGUGUAUGGUCCAUGACUACUCACAUGAUUGAGUUUUGAUAUUGAGAUAACUUAUUCUAUAAGUUACAUUCUCCUCUCAAGUCUUGACCUAAAUUGGUUCUUAAACCAUUUUCCUCUUUACUUGUUUAAGUUGUGAGUUUUGUUUAUCUUUAAGAAGUGGUUACUUCUUUAUCUUAUCUACUUAUUCAAGUAGUUUCUCUUUCUUUUUUAGAAGAUUAUCUCAUUUUCUUUUGAAAGUGGUUCUUUCUUGUAUGUGUGUUUGUGUGCUCUUCCUUUUGAGAUGGUUAUCUCAUAUUUUUGAAGCGGUUACUUCUUGUUUGUGUUUGUUCUUUUGAGAUGGUUAUCUCAUGUUUUGAAAUGGUUACUUCUUUUUUGUGUUUGUUUUUCUUUUGAGAUGGUUAUAUCAUGCCUUUGAGGUGUUCACCUCCUUCUUUUUCUUAUGCCAUGUUCCCUUAGGAUACGGUUCUACCUUGUUCAAGGUAAAUCGUCUAGACAUUAGGAUAGUUAUCUAAAUAUGUCAACAUUAGGUCUAUAAUUAGUCUCCCUUUUAGUUUAGGUCAUAUUUUUCUUUUCAACCUUCAAAACAUCUAAUAAAUAUUCAAAUUAAUUCCCUUAAAAAAUGAGUAGAGAAGGGUGAGUAUCCUUGCAUUGGGAUUUAAUUCACCACUAUCUACAUUCAAGCAAAAAACACCUAAUGUACCUAAUAAAUAUCAAAAAAUUUAAAAAAGUGGAGAAAGGUGGGCAUCCUUGCAUUGGGCUCUAGAUCACCUUUAUCCACAUCAAAAACCACCAACCAAAUCUCUUUUGCAUUUUAGAUUUGCCUUGUUAGGUAAGAUCAUGUUAUUUCCGCUCCAUUCCCCAGCUUAAGUCUCCAAAGGUCGAGCAGCAGAGUGCGAAUGUAACUGUUCAUUAAAAAAACACAAAAACAAACAGAAAUUUUUUAGCUGAACUACGGUAACUCUGAUUCCCCAAAAAGGAUACGUAGGCAUUGGGGUAGGGCCCAAGCGAGCACAACUUUAUUUUCCCUACAUUUUGCAUGCAUUGCAUUUCCUUAGCAUUAAGCUUUAGACUUAGACUUUUUACACCCAUAGAUUAGAACUAACAAGAGAGGAUCCCGUCGAGCAUGACAGACGUGAGGGGUGCUAAUCCCUUCCCCUUGCGUAACCGACUCCCUUACCCUUUUCUCUUGGUCGUAAGACCUUUGUUGUUUUUCUUUUAGGUUUUACUCUAUGUUUUCCUUUCCCUUCUCAUGGGAUAAAUAAACACUCGAUGACAACUUCAUUGUUUUCGAUGAUUUUUUCCAGUUGCUUCAUCCACAAACCAUCAACCCUACAAGAUACACGCAACUUAAACAGACACACGCACUUUCUCGAUCUCGUGUCAUCAUGUUUUAACUUCUGAUUUGUUGGAACAUACUUCCAUCCCCUCUGCAUCUCAUCUUUGCUUGCGUUCUACUAGUGCCAUUGUCGGACCUUGCUAUCACAAUGCCACAUCCAAGUUUACUUGCUUCAUUUUGGACCCAUUGUAGCAAAUGUUCACGACAAGUGAAAGUCAUUUCAUUUGUAAGUUAUGGUCUAACAUCCACCGCAACGACAAUUUUUUUAACAUCGUUAAUCGGCUCUUUAGAAUUAGCAUAUACGUUGACCUCUUCCGAAACUUCUAACUCAUCUAUUGUAAUGUUGUUGGGAUGCACCUGUUGAAAGUAUUUUUGGGUAAAUAUUUUCGGUAAUAUAUCGUAUCCACAGGGAUUGGUUAAUAUCACUGCCGUUCUAUAGUUGUUUAUUUUGAGUUAGGAAAAGUGAGUUGAUUUAUUUUAUGAUUCUAAUAAUAUCAAAAGUGAACAAUAAAUUAAAAGCGAGUAAUGAACUGUUGUUAACGAUUAGAGAAAUAUGUUGAACCUUAGGGUUCAUCAACCUAUUCCUAUACAAUUAUCAAUUAAUUCACAAUUGAACAAUCUUUUGAAUCAUUAUCUUCACUUAUCCUCAAAUAAGAUUCCGUGUCUGCAAAUCAAAUUAGAUAACUUUUACCGGUAUGAGAUUCGUUCUCUCCAAAUAUCAAUAUCGAUAAUAGUAAUUAAGAACGAUAAUUAUGAAAACUCAAUCCCAAUUCCAUCUCUGCAAAUUGGUAUUGAAUCAAUAUAGUAACCUAGGGCAAAAGUUAAAUCCUUUCUUUCGAUCAAAGAUUCAACGAUAAUUUAAGAAUAAAAACAAGAUUUUUUAUUGAUAAUGAAUUCAAACAAUUGUUCACAGGAAUUAAUUAAUGGUAUUGUAUAUUCAUAGGUUAACUACUACCUUAGAUUCAACAAGAGGUGUUUAGCUCUCCAUAGACAUGAAGAACACACAAAGAUUAAUGGAAGAAUUCAUCUUCAUCAAAGGAAUGUCUUCGCUUGAUAGAGAAUUGGUCUUCAAUUGAUGAUUGUGGCUGCACCUUCAGAUUGCUCUCCUAAUUUCGCUCUUCCCAAAGUUUUUUUCUCUUGGAAGCUAGGGCUUUUAAAUAGAAGUUUUGGGAUUUUAACGCCGAGGCCGCGGCGCGGCAUCGGACUGGCGCGGCGCGCUUCAAAACAGAGAUAUUUUCGCGGCGCGCUCUAGAAACUCUCGCGGCGCGCCCUUUGCAAUUUCCAUCUUUUUCUUCUGCCUUUGAGACUUCCAUCUCUCUUUCCUCCUCAUGUUCUUCUCAAGCUUCAAUUCAGCUCUAAACCUGCAACAAUAACACCCACAAGUGAUUCGAUUUGCUUUACACAUGAACUGAACCUUUUCAGUUCAAUUCUUACUAAAAACCUAUGGAUCUAUCAUAAUUUGCAUUAGUUUAGAGAAGAAAUCACUUAUAUUAACACAUGAAUUUACCAUUAAUUUACUCCUAACAGCACCAUA